AACGCACAUUGCGCCCCGGGGUAUUCCCCAGGGCAUGCGUGGGUGAGCGAUAUUUACUCUCAAACCUCCGGUUUGGUCCUGCUUCGGCCUAAUAUCAACGGCGCUAGAAUAAGUUUUAGCCCCAUCCUUUUUCCUCACCCUCGUAAGACUACCCGCUGAACUUAA
rnacentral:misc_RNA from 1 species